UACGUAGGGUGCAAGCGUUGUCCGGAAUUAUUGGGCGUAAAGAGCUCGUAGGCGGUCUGUCGCGUCGGCUGUGAAAUCCCGAGGCUCAACCUCGGGUCUGCAGUCGAUACGGGCAAACUAGAGUAUUGCAGGGGAGACUGGAAUUCCUGGUGUAGCGGUGAAAUGCGCAGAUAUCAGGAGGAACACCGGUGGCGAAGGCGGAUCUCUGGGCCGUAACUGACGCUGAGGAGCGAAAGCAUGGGGGAGCGAACAGG
rnacentral:rRNA from 1 species